CCUACGGGAGGCAGCAGUGGGGGAUAUUGCACAAUGGGGGGAACCCUGAUGCAGCGACGCCGCGUGGGUGAAGAAGCGCCUCGGCGCGUAAAGCCCUGUCAGCAGGGAAGAAAAUGACGGUACCUGAAGAAGAAGCCCCGGCUAACUACGUGCCAGCAGCCGCGGUAAUACGUAGGGGGCAAGCGUUAUCCGGAUUUACUGGGUGUAAAGGGGGCGCAGACGGCGAUGCAAGCCAGGAGUGAAAGCCCGGGGCCCAACCCCGGGACUGCUCUUGGAACUGCGUGGCUGGAGUGCAGGAGGGGCAGGCGGAAUUCCUGGUGUAGCGGUGGAAUGCGUAGAUAUCAGGAGGAACACCGGUGGCGAAGGCGGCCUGCUGGACUGCAACUGACGUUGAGGCCCGAAAGCGUGGGGAGCAAACAGGAUUAGAUACCCUAGUAGUC
rnacentral:rRNA from 1 species